CCAUAUUUCAAUAAGUGGGCUUAGAAAGUUAAGAGCUGAAGGAUUCCUAUUUCAGCUGAUUUAAAAAUCACAGCUUUCUUACUUGUGAGAGAUACAAAACAGCAUUCCUCAAAGAACAUCAUCGUAUGUACAGUUGCUUGUGAUUAUUGCUGAAAACAUAAAUUUGUAUGUGAAAAUAUAACAUGAUUGUAAUAACACAUUGCACUUAAAGAGUCUAUGACACUGAAACUAAAUGCUAAACAAACAGCAAAUAAAAAUGAAAGAAGGGAAAGCUCUUUUCUAUAGUAGAAUACUAAGUAUUAGGUUGAUGCAAAAGUAAUUGUGGUUUUUGCCAUUAAAAGUAAUUGGCAAAAACCGCAAUAACUUUUGCACCAACCUAAUAAUAUAGAAGGAAUACUAGAAUUAGAG
rnacentral:lncRNA from 10 species